AGGUAAGCUACUAAGAGCGAAUGGUGGAUGCCUUGACUGGUAAAGGCGAUGAAGGACGUACUAGACUGCGAUAAGCUACGGGGAGCUGUCAAGAAGCUUUGAUCCGUAGAUUUCCGAAUGGGGCAACCCAAUGUAUAGAGAUAUACAUUACCUAUAUAGGAGCGAACGAGGGGAAUUGAAACAUCUUAGUACCCUCAGGAAAAGAAAUCAAUAGAGAUUGCGUCAGUAGCGGCGAGCGAAAGCGCAAGAGGGCAAACCCAGUGCUUGCACUGGGGGUUGUAGGACUGUAAUGUGCAAGAGGUAAGUUUAGCAGAACAUUCUGGAAAGUAUAACCAUAGAGGGUGAUAGUCCCGUAUGCGAAAAACAAACCUUAGCUAGCAGUAUCCUGAGUAGGGCGGGACACGAGGAAUCCUGUCUGAAUCCGGGUCGACCACGAUCCAACCCUAAAUACUAAUACCAGAUCGAUAGUGCACAAGUACCGUGAGGGAAAGGUGAAAAGAACUGAGGUGAUCAGAGUGAAAUAGAACCUGAAACCAUUUGCUUACAAUCAUUCAGAGCCCUAUGUAGCAAUACAGGGUGAUGGACUGCCUUUUGCAUAAUGAGCCUGCGAGUUGUGGUGUCUGGCAAGGUUAAGCAAACGCGAAGCCGUAGCGAAAGCGAGUCUGAAUAGGGCGCUUAGUCAGAUGCUGCAGACCCGAAACGAAGUGAUCUAUCCAUGAGCAAGUUGAAGCUAGUGUAAGAACUAGUGGAGGACUGAACCCAUAGGCGUUGAAAAGCCCCGGGAUGACUUGUGGAUAGGGGUGAAAGGCCAAUCAAACUUCGUGAUAGCUGGUUCUCUCCGAAAUAUAUUUAGGUAUAGCGUUGUGUCGUAAUAUAAGGGGGUAGAGCACUGAAUGGGCUAGGGCAUACACCAAUGUACCAAACCCUAUCAAACUCCGAAUACCUUAUAUGUAAUCACAGCAGUCAGGCGGCGAGUGAUAAAAUCCGUCGUCAAGAGGGAAACAACCCAGACUACCAGCUAAGGUCCCUAAGUCUUACUUAAGUGGAAAACGAUGUGAAGUUACUUAAACAACCAGGAGGUUGGCUUAGAAGCAGCCAUCCUUUAAAGAAAGCGUAAUAGCUCACUGGUCUAGUGAUUUUGCGCGGAAAAUAUAACGGGGCUAAAGU
rnacentral:rRNA from 1 species